rnacentral:rRNA from 1 species
UGGGGAAUUUUGGACAAUGGGGGCAACCCUGAUCCAGCAAUGCCGCGUGUGUGAAGAAGGCCUUCGGGUUGUAAAGCACUUUUGUCCGGAAAGAAAACGUCGUGGUUAAUACCCGUGGCGGCUGACGGUACCGGAAGAAUAAGCACCGGCUAACUACGUGCCAGCAGCCGCGGUAAUACGUAGGGUGCAAGCGUUAAUCGGAAUUACUGGGCGUAAAGCGUGCGCAGGCGGUCCGCUAAGACAGAUGUGAAAUCCCCGGGCUUAACCUGGGAACUGCAUUUGUGACUGGCGGGCUAGAGUAUGGCAGAGGGGGGUAGAAUUCCACGUGUAGCAGUGAAAUGCGUAGAGAUGUGGAGGAAUACCGAUGGCGAAGGCAGCCCCCUGGGCCAAUACUGACGCUCAUGCACGAAAGCGUGGGGGAGCAAACAGGAUUAGAUACCCUGGUAGUCCACGCCCU